rnacentral:rRNA from 1 species
AUGAACGCUGGCGGCGUGCCUAACACAUGCAAGUCGAGCGAGAAAUUCGCGAUUGAGAUUCGGUUGAUUGAACGAAUGGACAGCGGCGGACGGGUGAGUAACGCGUAGGUAAUCUGCCUUCAGCACAGGGAUAGCCUAGGGAAACCUGGAUUAAUACCUGAUAACGCAUUGGAGUCACAUGGCUUUGAUGCCAAAGAUUUAUCGGCUGGAGAUGAACCUGCGUCUGAUUAGAUAGUUGGUGGGGUAACGGCCUACCAAGUCAACGAUCAGUAGCCGACCUGAGAGGGUGAUCGGCCACAUUGGAACUGAGACACGGUCCAAACUCCUACGGGAGGCAGCAGUGGGGAGUAUUGCACAAUGGGCGCAAGCCUGAUGCAGCCAACGCCGCGUGAGCGAUGAAGGUCUUCGGAUCGUAAAGCUCUGUCCUCUGGGAAGAAGAAGUGACGGUACCAGAGGAGGAAGCCCCGGCUAACUACGUGCCAGCCGCAGC